CUGCCUAGCUCUAGCUCAUGGUUGUUAUCCUGUCCUCACUCUUCCUGGGCUUAGCAGAGGUCAUGUUCUUGCUUGUGCUUUCUGCUAAGUGAGACAAGACCUUCAUGCCUUCCUCUCCAGCUUCUCAGUAGAGGCAUGCAGAACAUACCCAAUGUCACAAACAAACCUCGAGUGGGCAAGCAAGAAGCCAGGAAUCAGAUGCUGGCUUGAAUCCAGAGGCUGAUGUGGGCCCAAAACCUGCCUGAAAAAUGGAACAAAGGGAAGACAUUGGCCUAAGAGAACACAAGAGAUGCUGCUAAGGUCAUUUAUAGCUUGUAGAAGACUACAAGUAGUCUCAUUUCAGCCAGGACUGGAUACAGGCCAUGGCUAGGUUUGCUAAGGCGCAUGACAGAUGACCCUUGUGAACCAAUGUUGGAAGAACCUCUCGUUGGGAAGGUGCCAUGGAGAACACUCAGCAUCAAUGCCCUACAAGUUUUCUUUAAUGUCCAGUGUAGCUCAUGUUCAAAAUAGCAAUGGAAAUGUGUGGUGUUUAUUGCAGGCACAUAUGUUUGUGAUCAAGGUAUAGCUCUCAGGGAUGAGAAGCAAAAUGCAGUCAUUUGCUGCUCAGCAUCAUAGCUCUCAUACAUUCAACGAAAUAGCUUUAUUUAUCUUCUUCUGCAUAUAGGACCUUCCAUAUUGCAAAUUUAUUGAAUGGUUAAUGGCCUAAAAGUAU
rnacentral:lncRNA from 1 species